GGGCCGGUAGCUCAGUUGGUAGAGCGUCAGCCUUUUAAGCUGAGCGUCCAGGGUUCGAGUCCCUGCCGGCUCACCA
rnacentral:tRNA from 1 species